rnacentral:lncRNA from 1 species
GAUUGGAAUGUUGGGUACAACAAAAGCAAGGAAGCCGGGGCAUAGCCUUGUUCCAGUAUAUUGGAAAAAUAGUGGUCCAGAUUAUGGAGACUUUCAGUGACAAGCAAAAGUGAUUGAACUUUGGCUGGACACAUUGGCUCAUGCCCAUAAUCUGAGCACUUUGGGAGGCCAGGGUGGACAGAUCACUUGAGGUCAGGAGUUCAGGACCAACCUGGCCAACAUGGUGAAACCCUGUCUCUCUAAAAAUACAAACAUUAGCCAGGAGUGGUGGUACAUGCCUGUAGUCCCAGCUACUUGGGAGGCUAAGGCAGGAGAAUUGCUUGAACCCGGGAGGUGGAGGUUGCAGUGAGCUGAGAUGGCACCACUGUACUCCAACCUGGCCAAUAGAGUGAGACUGCAUCUCAAAAAAAAAAAAAGUGAUUGAAUUUUAUUUUGAAAGCAGUGGGGUAACUUUGGAAGGUUUGUGAGCAGAGGAAUGAAGUGACCAGAACUGGGCCAUAGAAUGUAAAUCCAGCAAUGGAAUAGGGAGGACUAGACUGAAGAGGAGGAGGUACCAAUAAUGGAAAGAAUGGUUAGGAAGAUUUCCCACUAGUCUGUUGAGAUCAGGGAAGUCAUCUAAGUUUGUAAUAGAGCAAAUAGAAAGGAAAAAACAAAAAUGGGAUAAUUGUAGAGAUGAAUUUGAUGUGUGGUUGGGCAUAAUCAACAGAGAAGACAGAAUCUUUUAGGAGAAACCUUCCCUGGCAGUUUUGUAGGUGAAUCCCCUUUUGGGGCAUCUGGAAAAUAUGCAUGUUUCUAUAUUAAUAUAGAGGUAGCUAUCAUGGGACAGUCACUUUGUCAGGAUUUCCAUUUUUUACUGAGAUGUGCAAUAGGGUUCAUACUUUCUCCAUGGCAGAGUAUGAGGGGAAGGAGAGAGAGUUCUAGAGAGAUACUUUCCUGCAUUUCGAGACUCAAGAAAUAGCCUCCUGAUUUACUAAAUAAAAACAGGAAAGGAGUUUUGUGUGGUCUGCUCUUUCUCCUGGAACUUGAAAGACUUAGUAGUCAUGAGGUGGCUAUCCCUGGUGUUUUCCUAAUUUUGAAUCUAG